AAACUCAAUUAUCUUACAAUCACAUGCCCAGACAUCUUAUUUGCUGUAAGUGUGGUCAGUCAAUUCCUUCAAGCACCAUCUAGUAGUCAUUGGGAUGCAGUUAGUCGGAUACUUAAAUAUAUUAAAGGAGUUCCAGGACAGAGCCUAUUAUAUGAAGACAAGGGUCAUUCACAGAUUAUUGGUUAUUUAGAUGCAGAUUGGGCAGGUUUUCUUUCAGACAGACGGCCUACUUCAGGAUAUUGCAUUAUGA
rnacentral:misc_RNA from 1 species